GGACCAUCUCCUAAGGCUAAAUACUCUCUAGUGACCGAUAGUGAACCAGUACCGUGAGGGAAAGGUGAAAAGCACCCCGGAAGGGGAGUGAAAUAGAACCUGAAACCGUGUGCUUACAAGUAGUCAGAGCCCGUUAAUGGGUGAUGGCGUGCCUUUUGUAGAAUGAACCGGCGAGUUACGAUUUGAUGCAAGGUUAAGCAGUAAAUGUGGAGCCGUAGCGAAAGCGAGUCUGAAUAGGGCGUUUAGUAUUUGGUCGUAGACCCGAAACCAGGUGAUCUACCCUUGGUCAGGUUGAAGUUCAGGUAACACUGAAUGGAGGACCGAACCGACUUACGUUGAAAAGUGAGCGGAUGAACUGAGGGUAGCGGAGAAAUUCCAAUCGAACCUGGAGAU
rnacentral:rRNA from 1 species